UUCAUGUAAUUACCUCGAGUAUCAGAUGAUGACCUUGAAUAUCAGAAGUACGACUUUUUUUUCAUAUUGUUUCGUCCCUGUAUCGGCAGAUUCUCUUAGAAACGAACGACUACUGCAUAACAAGUACAGUCACGUGACAUGAAGGUGUCCAUGUCCAUGACGCAGCUCAAAGGAAAGCUGGCAAAGUUGACACAAAAGUAGUCUGACAAGUGUUAGCUGUAAUUUCAAGACUUACUGUACACGUAUAAGAAUGCACAACAAAAUAUCGGAACAAAGUGUUUGGUAUGAAAAUGGAUAGAAAAUGAUGGCAAGAUGGCACAAAUAGUGGUCUCUCGAUACCUUCUCCAUACCCGCCGCGGCCCACACAAUCGCUUAUAAACAAGGCGGUGCUUCCAGAUAAUACACACGUGUACUGUUCUAAGCACUGCUUUACACUGCGGGAUUCAAGGAACCAUGAAGCUGCUUCUGGUCAUGAGUUUGGUGCUGAUUGUGGUGGCACUGGUGGGGGUCACCUCGGCGUUCCCGAACCCUCUACCUGAAGCUUUUCCUGACCCUGAAGCUGAAGCUGACCCUGAUCCAUUCUUUUUCAAGAGAUUUUAUCGCCCGUAUUAUCGUCCUCGCUACUACUUUUACUAGUGAUGACUCAAUAGCACUUUAUUUAAAAAAGAAAUAAUGAAGAACCAGUCUUAACUCCACAUACACACACACACACAUACAAACAAACACACGCACACACACACACACACACACACACACACACACACACACACACACACACACACACACACACACACAUAUCCAUGGGCAUUUAUAUGAGAAGUGUAAUGUUUCUUUGUAAGAUUUCAACGCUACAUGCGAAUAUAUAUAAGAAAAAAAAUACAAUUUCUGAAAUGGUAA